CAGAGCCCGCCAGCUGCUAAGCCAGGGCCACACCUGGGGGUGAUUUCAUGCCUCACCUCCAGUAGGCUCAUGGCCUCUCUGGGCUAACCUCUGGCUCUUUUGCACUAACUCUAGCUCUCCCCCAGCUAAUCCCUGCCUUUCCCUGGCUGCCCCAGGGGCUGACCACUAGCAGCCAGCCCCGCCCACCCGCGGGGCUCCAGGCUCCUUUGAACCAACCACCCUUUCCUCUGGACUAAUGUAUGCCUUUCUGGUCUGUUCCUUCCGGCAGAAAUGAAUGGCUGUGGAUUUCUCUCUGACUAACAGGUCUCAUACUCCUCUCCCUGUUACCACUAACGGCUUGGUUGAUGGCGGCGUGGCUGGC
rnacentral:lncRNA from 1 species